AGGGAGCUGGUGUGCGUCACCACGGCCUGCCCAGGGCGCGCUGCCAGCAGCGCGGUGGGCGCCUCCGAGGAGCCCAGCGUCCCCAGCCCCACGGCAGCCCCAACGGCGGGACCCCGCGGGGACGACGGCGCCCGGCACAAGGACUGACGCCGCGGAGGCCCGACGCUGCCCGGGAGCCAUGGCGGAGGCGGAGGCGGCCCCGGCCGAGGGCCGCCCGCCGGCCCGGAGGCGCUGGCUCUUCUGGCGGCUGCACCCGC